AUUGUAUCCUGCCAACAUUUGAUAGUUGCUUUUGGGGCAAGCUAAACCAAUAAAAGUUUAAACUUUUUCUCUCCAUUAAAGGGAUUGAAUAAAUUGGCCACUUUAUCAGCACCUCAUGCCUGUCACAUUAAUGGCUGAACUAGAAAAUCAGAAGAAUCAGCACAGAAGUGCUUCUCAAUGGGGGUGAUUUUGUCCCCUCGGGGAUAUUUGGCAAUAUCUGGAGACACUUUUGGUUGUCACAAGUAGCUGAUGUGUUACUGGCAUCUAGUAGCUGCCAAGCAGUAACGGCUGUCUUUGUACUGAAUCCCGGAAGUGUCUCUGUAUCCUGGAAGUAUUGCAAUGAUCGUCUUCACACCUGCAAAAUAUUCCUGCACCGUGUACACAAAUGAUUAUGGCUCCGCUCUUGGGCCUCACCUGGGAGCUACUGCAUGUGAGGAUCAAAUUGAUACACAUUAGGGCAUCCUCAGCGGUCUUUGGCAAAGGCCUAUAGAUUACCUCGCUAUCCAAUUUGUUAACUGGACAGCAGAGCCUGAGUGGAAAGAACAAUGCGCUCGUCAGUUGGGAGAAGCUCCUCCAGGUAUCAACAGAUACAAGCAAGGCAAUCUCACUGUGCAGGUUGAUUAGAACUGGGUUUGUAUUUUGGACAAUAAACUCUAUUUAUGAUAGUCUCCCAGUCAUUAAGUAUCUCUGCUGUAAGAGAAAACUGGGGCUAUUAACUUCUCCAGAUAGAACCCGAGGGAAAAGUGAUCAUUUCUUUUCUAAGCAGAAGGGAAGGUUCUGCUCAAUAAAGAUCAAUUAAACAUCUCUGUUAAAAGACUGCUUGGAGCUGGUGCCAAAGGAAAUUCCACUGUAUUAACCCGUGCUCCCUCCAACCCUCCCCACCUCUGUAGCUUGCACUGGGGAAAAUUGUAAGAGGACGCUGGCUAUUGUAAGCUUUAUAAGGUGACAGUAGCUCUCACAUCCGUGGCUGAAUGAUCUUUGAUGUUGAGUGACUUUUCCUGCAUUUAGCAGGGGUAUUCCCAGAGGAUGGCAGGCAAAUCAAACGCUCCUCUGAAUUCAGCUGCUAGCAUCAAUCAUCCUCAUGAGGGAGUAAAAAAAAAGAAUAUAACAAUAGGUACCGGGAAAAAUGAUAUGGUGGUCUGAGCUAGUAAUUCCCAGGAUGCAGGAAGAGUUUUGGGGGCCCUAGAAAAUCCACUGCAUAAAGAAAACCCGCCACAAUCUCCACCAGCAUCUUAUAGUUACCACCUCAUUCUUGUCCUUUAAAAUACAGUGUGCUUGUCCUUUAAAAUACAGUGUGUCUUGUACGUUAAAAUACAGUGUGCUUCUACUCUCUGGCUUAGACUGCAUCCUCUCAUGUAAAUUCCAUCUGUUCUUGCUUGAGGGAGGGCAGACACAACCUUGACUUUAUCCUCUUGAUGAGAGUGAUGUUUCAUGGUGUUGGGAGGAUUUUCAUUGGGUCAAUUGCCUGAUUGAGACAUAGCCUUAGUGAGGUGACAAAUAGCAGGCAUUAAUGUCUCUUUUUUAAUGGUAUGAUGAAUGGUCUAAGAGAAGGGUCAGCAAACUGUAGCCAGCCGCCUGUUUUUGUAAAUAAAUUAUUGGACCACAGCCAGGCCAGUUCAUUCAUGAA